UACGUAGGGGGCAAGCGUUGUCCGGAAUCAUUGGGCGUAAAGAGCGCGCAGGCGGUAUGACAAGUCAGAUGUGAAAGAGGCCGGCUUAACCGGCAAGGGUCAUUUGAAACUGUCAGACUAGAGUGCAGCAGAGGAUAGUGGAAUUCCCGGUGUAGUGGUGAAAUGCGUAGAUAUCGGGAGGAACACCAGUGGCGAAGGCGACUAUCUGGGCUGCAACUGACGCUGAGGCGCGAAGGCCAGGGUAGCAAACAGG
rnacentral:rRNA from 1 species